rnacentral:rRNA from 1 species
UACGUAGGGGGCGAGCGUUGUCCGGAUUUAUUGGGCGUAAAGCGCUCGCAGGUGGUCCGUCGCGUCGUGCGUGAAAGACCCCGGCUCAACUGGGGGGCGUCGUGCGAAACGGGCGGACUGGAGGCCAGUAGGGGGAUGCGGAAUUCCGGGUGUAGUGGUGGAAUGCGUAGAGAUCCGGAGGAACACCAGCGGCGAAGGCGGCAUCCUGGACUGGUCCUGACACUCAUGAGCGAAAGCGUGGGGAGCGAUCCGG